CAGUAGCCGCGGUAAUACGUAGGUGGCAAGCGUUGUCCGGAAUUAUUGGGCGUAAAGGGCUCGCAAGCGGUUUCUUAAGUCUGAUGUGAAAGCCCCCGGCUCAACCGGGGAGGGUCAUUGGAAACUGGGAAACUUGAGUGCAGAAGAGGAGAGUGGAACUCCACGUGUAGCGGUGAAAUGCGUAGAGAUGUGGAGGAACACCAGUGGCGAAGGCGACUCUCUGGUCUGUAACUGACCCUGAGGAGCGAAAGCGUGGGGAGCGAACAGGAUUAGAUACCCCCGUAGUCCCUGUCUCUUAUAC
rnacentral:rRNA from 1 species